rnacentral:rRNA from 1 species
UGCGCAGGCGGAAAGGUAAGUUAGAGGUGAAAUCUUGCGGCUUAACCGCAAAACUGCCUCUGAUACUGCUUUUCUUGAGAACGGAAGAGAAUGAUGGAAUUUCUGGUGUAGCGGUGAAAUGCGUAGAUAUCAGAAAGAACACCAGUGGCGAAGGCGGUCAUUUGGUCCGCUUCUGACGCUCAUGCACGAAAGCGUGGGGAUCAAACAGGAUUAGAUACCCUGGUAGUCCACGCCCUAAACGAUGAUUACUUGAUGUUGGCUUCGGUAGAAGUCAGUAUCGCAGAUAACUCGGUAAGUAAUCCACCUGGGAAGUACGCUCGCAAGGGUGAA